UUUGUAUAAUGGGUCAGCGACUUAUAUUCAGUGGCAAGGUUAACCAUCUAGGGGAGCCGUAGGGAAACCGAGUCUUAACUGGGCGUUCAGUCUCUGGAUAUAGACCCGAAACCAGGUGAUCUAGCCAUGGGCAGGUUGAAGGUUGAGUAACAUCAACUGGAGGACCGAACCGACUAAUGUUGAAAAAUUAGCGGAUGACUUGUGGCUAGGGGUGAAAGGCCAAUCAAACCUGGAGAUAGCUGGUUCUCCCCGAAAGCUAUUUAGGUAGCGCCUCGGACGAAUACUACUGGGGGUAGAGCACUGUUAAGGCUAGGGGGUCAUCCCGACUUACCAACCCUUUGCAAACUCCGAAUACCAGUAAGUACUAUCCGGGAGACACACGGCGGGUGCUAACGUCCGUCGUGGAGAGGGAAACAACCCAGACCGCCAGCUAAGGUCCCAAAUUACUACUAAGUGGGAAACGAUGUGGGAAGGCUCAGACAGCCAGGAUGUUGGCUUAGAAGCAGCCAUCAUUUAAAGAAAGCGUAAUAGCUCACUGGUCGAGUCGGCCUGCGCGGAAGAUGUAACGGGGCUAAGUAGUAAACCGAAGCUGCGGCAAUAUACUUUUGUAUAUUGGGUAGGGGAGCGUUCUGUAAGCGGUUGAAGGUGUGUGGUAACGCAUGCUGGACGUAUCAGAAGUGCGAAUGCUGACAUGAGUAACGAUAAAGGGGGUGAAAAACCUCCUCGCCGGAAGACCAAGGGUUCCUGUCCAACGUUAAUCGGGGCAGGGUAAGUCGACCCCUAAGGCGAGGCCGAAAGGCGUAGUCGAUGGGAAACGGGUUAAUAUUCCCGUACUUCUUACAAUUGCGAUGGGGGGACGGAGAAGGCUAGGUGGGCCUGGCGACGGUUGUCCAGGUUCAAGUGCGUAGGCUUAAGAGUUAGGUAAAUCCGGCUCUUUUUAAGGCUGAGACACGACGUCGAGCACCUACGGGUGUGAAGUCAUUGAUGCCAUGCUUCCAGGAAAAGCCUCUAAGCUUCAGAUUGUAAGGAAUCGUACCCCAAACCGACACAGGUGGUCGGGUAGAGAAUACCAAGGCGCUUGAGAGAACUCGGGUGAAGGAACUAGGCAAAAUGGUACCGUAACUUCGGGAGAAGGUACGCUCUUGAUGGUGAAGUCCCUUGCGGAUGGAGCUGACGAGAGUCGCAGAUACCAGGUGGCUGCAACUGUUUAUUAAAAACACAGCACUGUGCAAAAUCGUAAGAUGACGUAUACGGUGUGACGCCUGCCCGGUGCCGGAAGGUUAAUUGAUGGGGUUAGACUUCGGUCGAAGCUCUUGAUCGAAGCCCCGGUAAACGGCGGCCGUAACUAUAACGGUCCUAAGGUAGCGAAAUUCCUUGUCGGGUAAGUUCCGACCUGCACGAAUGGCGUAAUGAUGGCCACGCUGUCUCCACCCGAGACUCAGUGAAAUUGAAAUCGCUGUGAAGAUGCAGUGUACCCGCGGCUAGACGGAAAGACCCCGUGAACCUUUACUACAGCUUGGCACUGAACAUUGACCCUACAUGUGUAGGAUAGGUGGGAGGCUUUGAAGCAAGUACGCCAGUAUUUGUGGAGCCGUCCUUGAAAUACCACCCUUGUAGUGUUGAUGUUCUAACGUCGACCCCUAAUCGGGGUUGCGGACAGUGCCUGGUGGGUAGUUUGACUGGGGCGGUCUCCUCCCAAAGAGUAACGGAGGAGCACGAAGGUGGGCUAAUCACGGUUGGACAUCGUGAGGUUAGUGCAAUGGCAUAAGCCCGCUUGACUGCGAGAAUGACAAUUCGAGCAGGUGCGAAAGCAGGUCAUAGUGAUCCGGUGGUUCUGAAUGGAAGGGCCAUCGCUCAACGGAUAAAAGGUACUCCGGGGAUAACAGGCUGAUACCGCCCAAGAGUUCAUAUCGACGGCGGUGUUUGGCACCUCGAUGUCGGCUCAUCACAUCCUGGGGCUGAAGUCGGUCCCAAGGGUAUGGCUGUUCGCCAUUUAAAGUGGUACGCGAGCUGGGUUUAGAACGUCGUGAGACAGUUCGGUCCCUAUCUGCCGUGGGCGUUGGAAGAUUGAAGGGGGCUGCUCCUAGUACGAGAGGACCGGAGUGGACGAACCUCUGGUGUUCGGGUUGUGUCGCCAGACGCAUUGCCCGGUAGCUAAGUUCGGAAUCGAUAACCGCUGAAAGCAUCUAAGCGGGAAGCGAGCCCUGAGAUGAGUCUUCCCUGAUACUUUAAGUAUCCUAAAGGGUUGUCGGAGACUACGACGUUGAUAGGUCAGGUGUGUAAGUGCUGUGAGGCAUUGAGCUAACUGAUACUAAUUGCCCGUGAGGCUUAACCAU
rnacentral:rRNA from 1 species